UCACUGAACCCUCUUUUGUCAGGGAGCUCGAGCGUGGCGGGGAGGGGGCACGGGGGCAGGUCUGAGGUGUGCAGGAGCUGGGAGGGUGCACCCUGUAGGAGUCUUGCUGGGUCUGCCUUCACUACCGGGUGCUGCAGAUGUUUUCUGGAUAAAGGAGAAAAAGGAGACCUAGAAGCUGAAGCAGAACCUACACAGGGUCUCCUUCUUGCCAUCACAGGGGCCAGAAUCCCCCAGCUCCCCAUGCACACUGUCUCAGGUGAGAAAACCAAGACCCUGGGAGGGUAAGAAGCUUGCCUUCAGUGGGGCUAGAGCCUGGGGCCUCCGACUCUGCUCUCCAGGCUGCUGGGCUGGGGAAGAAUGACCCUGUACAAGGACUCAGGGGGCACGGUCAUGAUGCCACACCCUGGCUAUAGGUGACCCUGCAGGUACCUUGCCCCCUC